rnacentral:piRNA from 1 species
UCCCCUGAGUUGAAUGCAGUUGCUCAACCC